rfam:Asian citrus Psyllid, Diaphorina citri - Florida Strain, whole genome shotgun sequence.
AAUAGCAGCGGUAGCACGUUGCAUGCACCAGCUCCGAUGGAUCACUGAAGUUAAGCUACGUUACUCGUGGUUGGUAUCCGGAUGGGUACCCAUCUGGUUAAUCGCUUCUUGCUGGCU